rnacentral:rRNA from 1 species
GUCGUAACAAGGUCUCCGUUGGUGAACCAGCUGGAGGGAUCAUUAUCGAGUUAUUCAACUCCCAAACCCUAUGUGAACUUACCACUUGUUGCUUCGGCGCGCGCUUCGGCGCCGCCGAGGACACUUAAACUCUUUGUUUUUAUAAGCAUUUCUGAGUGGCCGAAAGGCAAAAAUACAAAUGAAUCAAAACUUUCAACAACGGAUCUCUUGGUUCUGGCAUCGAUGAAGAACGCAGCGAAAUGCGAUAAGUAAUGUGAAUUGCAGAAUUCAGUGAAUCAUCGAAUCUUUGAACGCACAUUGCGCCCGCCAGCAUUCUGGCGGGCAUGCCUGUUCGAGCGUCAUUUCAACCCUCGAGCCCGACUCUUUUGAGGACGGCUCGGCGUUGGGGGACGGCAGACUCCCCCCGGCAUCUCGCCGGGGACGCCGCCCCCGAAAUCUAGUGGCGGCCCUCCGAGGCGACCUCUGCGUAGUAACUUGUUCUCGCACCGGAAAGCUCAGAGCGGCCACGCCGUAAAACCCCAACUUUUUUCAGGUUGACCUCGAAUCAGGUAGGACUACCCGCUGAACUUAAGCAUAUCAAUAGUCG